CCUCAUUCCAAACAUCAUCU
rnacentral:miRNA from 1 species